UACGUAGGGUGCGAGCGUUAAUCGGAUUUACUGGGCGUAAAGCGUGCGCAGGCGGCCCGUUAAGACAGGUGUGAAAUCCCUGGGCUCAACCUAGGAAUUGCGCUUGUGACUGGCGGGCUCGAGUACGGUAGAGGGGGGUGGAAUUCCCGGUGUAGCAGUGAAAUGCGUAGAGAUCAGGAGGAACACCGAUGGCGAAGGCAGCCCCCUGGGCCUGUACUGACGCUGAGGCGCGAAAGCGUGGGGAGCAAACAGG
rnacentral:rRNA from 1 species